CUCUUUUUGAAUUUAAUUUAAAGUUGGGCCUGCCCACUGAAUUUUGAAGGGCCGCAGUAUUUUGACUGUGCAAAGGUAGCAUAAUCAUUAGUUUUUUAAUUGAAAGCUUGUAUGAAUGGUUUGAUGAGAAAAUUUCUGUUUCAGUUUUAAUUUAUAGAAUUUUAUUUUUAAGUAAAAAAGCUUAAAUUUUAUUUAAAGACGAGAAGACCCUAUAGAGUUUAACUAAAUUUAAUAAUUAGAUAUUUAGAAUUAUAGAAUCUAUAUUUUUAAAUAAGUUUUGUUGGGGUGACAAAAAAAUUAAAUAAACUUUUUUUUAAUUAAAACAAUAAUAAUUGAAAAUUUGAUCCAUAUAAAUGAUUAUAAGAUUAAAUUACCUUAGGGAUAACAGCGUAAUCUUUUUUGAGAGUUCUUAUUAAAAAAAGGGGUUGCGACCUCGAUGUUGGAUUAAAAUUAAUUUUUGGUGUAGAAGCUAGAAAAUUAGGUCUGUUCGACCUUUGAAAUUUUACAUGAUCUGAGUUU
rnacentral:rRNA from 1 species